GCUGUAGAGCAGAGUAACAGCUGUUCAUUUGGAGCCACAUCUGGCAACAGAUCUUCUCAGUCCGCGAACACUCGCAGCACAGAGAAGGUCUCUGGAGAGAGGACGCGUGUUGCAAACCAUAAAACACGGAGAAGGAGUCCCAUGUGUGGCGGCUCAGCGUCCGACCCAACCCGAAGUGACAUUUACUGCACAGGGAAGGCCAUACAUCCGCUGCAUCUUCUCAAAUAUGUCUCCCUUUUCACCUGUUUACCAUCGCAGCAGUCCAGAUGAAAAGUGUAAUUAUGCAAAACAUCCGUUUACACACUCGGCUGGCGCUACAAAGCAUACAGAACACCACGACAGAGAAGAGCUUCACAACAAACUGAUUUUAGCCCAAAGCUGUGCGAGACCUGCUGCCGGGCUUAGGCACAAGAAUCAAUAGUCUGCAGCUGCAAGGAGCGCGCCGCUGCAAAACGUCAAUAAUAUCUGAGGCCAGCGAGGACGGCGCUCAGCGGACGCCAUUUCUGUACACAUCAGAUACAAAAACACAGGCAUCCUGAUAUUGUUUGGCUUAGAUUUUACAUUGUGUCAUGUUUUAUCAGAUUGCUGUUUCUGAAAACUUAAGUUUGAAUCGAAAUGCAUACAUCUUUAUAAUUUUUACUUCAAGAACAACAAGAUACUUUAUCACCAGACUCUUUGCCUAAACCAGCCAAACCAUCAGUUCUGGAGUUUCAGGAAGUUUGGCUGUUUCUUCACGUGGGUCUUCUCCAAAAACAACGUGAAGCAGAUCAUCAGAUUUAAUGACGGGAUUGUUUUGCUUAUCUCAAACAUCAGCAAUGAAUGCAACUUCUUUGUGCAGACUUCUUCAUAACAAUGAAGAAGAAAGCACUUUCUUCCAGCGGCAGCAAUAAACAACCGGAGAGGGAGAGAAAAAUCCAUUACAGGAGAGGAAAUGAUGGCAUUUCUCCAGCAACAGCAGCAGAAACUCAAGGAACUCUGAUAAAGUGGAGAAAAUGGCUCUUUUUAUGAUCCUAACUUUUAAAUUGUUUGAUUCACUUCUUUGAAAAACAAGGUUUCUAAACUAUUGCAUCUCCAAGAAGUGAACGGUUUCAAUAAUUUAGGUGCAAAAGGAUGGAGGUUUGAUUCUGUGCGGAAAGGUAAAGGAGCGUAAAGCUUUUACAAACUGUACAAAAUAAAAGCCAGGUAACUUAAAAAUAGAGUAGAAGAGUCAAAUCAGAAACGUCACAGGUAACCUCAGCUGGACUGGUGAACUGAAAGGCUACUGAUCUACACUUCAUGACAAUUUUCCUUUUAAUCAUUAAACUGUCUGAAUAUGGUUAAAAGAGGCAUGGAGUCAGGACAUAAAACUUUAUAAAAGCUCAGAGUUCAGUCUUCUCUACCAAUACUGCUGACCAUUAAACAUAAUUUCUGUGCCAGUCGUAGUAGAUUGGUCCUUCAAUCUGCAGGACAAGCAUAUUUCUAACAGAGAGACACAAUUCAUACAAGAUUAUACUCAAGUACAGCAGAGCUAGAAAAUAUCUACUUUACCACAAACUCUUUAGAUUUUGUGUGGUAAAAAAAACAACAACCCACAUUUCUUGUCCUUUUUGUUUAUUCAGAACUGAAACUGCUGCAUGGCAAUGAUUAAAUGCAACCAAAAGUAAAAAAAAAAACACUUCAAAAACUAUGAAUCCACAGUGUGACAAGUACUGGAAUAAAUAAACACCAACAAAGAAGAGCAAUUUUUCAAAACAGAGUAAAAACUGUUGUAGAGACACAUUCUGCCACGGUUGAAACCCAGUGAAACUUUUUAUUCUGCAGAAAUCUGGAUCCACAUCUGCAACAUGGCAGGGGAGUUUUCAUGAUGCAACAUUUGAAGGUUGAAUCAGAGGGAGAGGAAUUUAAAAAAUUAGAAAUAAAAAAUAAACUGAACCAAUCAAAUUCUCAUGAUCAAU